AUUCGCUCACAACCCAUUGACGAGCAGUAUCACACAACACGAGCGGCGCAGUCCACUCCAUACAAUGAACAAGACCCAUUGCAUAAACAAAUAAAC
rnacentral:SRP_RNA from 1 species